rnacentral:misc_RNA from 1 species
UUUAUAUUUUAGAUGGUUCAGCCGGUAGUUUUAAAGAAGAGACAUAGUCUGAAGGGGCUUACCCUGUUACCUGUAAUCAGGUAAGUAAAGGAUGGGCGGUUAGAAAAUGUUAAGGAGCUGGCGCGGAUAAGCGUCGGGAAGCGCACGGAGGCGCUGCAGUUGAAGGAUAUCGCCAAAGCGGUGAUGGAGAUGACGGGGGAACCCAUGGACGAGUUGUUGGAGUUAGCAGGGAAAGAUAUUCGAGAUUAUGAUGCAGCAAAGUUACUGUUGCACUAUUGUGUACUAGCAGCGAAUGAAAGGGGACAGCCCAAAGGGCAGGUGUUGCAGGAUGAUGAAGCGGGUCCGAGUACGUCUGGUGCACCUGCAGAGAGACAGAAUCAGACUGAAGACAAUACUGUGGAGAAUGAGGCCACCCCAGUGAAAAGGAGAAAGACGAUUAAUGACAUGGAAAGGAGACUGCUGAUGCUCGAGAAGUUGGAGAAGGAGGAUGUUUCGAAGGUAGGGAGUGUCAAUGUUCAAGUCUUGGAUGAGAGGUUAAAGGAGUUAGAUGCAAGGAGGUCUACUUCACUGGAUUCAAAGAGGCAGGAUUGUUUAAAAAGGGAAAUUACCGAAUUUCUUGUGAGGAUGUCUGGUCGAGAAUUGACAAGUUGUACACCUGAUGACAUUAGGCGAUUUUUGGUAUGGAAGGAUCAGUGCGGUAAAAGUCAAGUUCAUAAGAUAGACUGUCGUUUUUUAGGAAACAAGGGAUUAUUUGACUGUAAUUGUCCAGUACGUCUGGCUUCUGGUACUGUCUCAUUAAUGAUAAAUAGAUUAGUGAACAUUUUUCAUGAGAUGGGAUGUGAAAGAUCGUGGAACAUGGCUCUUGGAUUAGGGAAUCCGGCUGCAUCAAGUCAAGUGAAAGAUUAUUUGAAAAUUAUACAAGAGGAGCAAGCGAGAGCCCAUUUGGUACCAAAACAGGCUAAACCCAUCUUUUUGACCAAGGUUAAGGCUAUUGUUGGCUAUAUAGGGGGUCGAUUAAGCAUGAGUUCUGUGUCAGUUAGGGAGAGGUAUAUCUUAUUGAGAGACCAGGCUUGGUUCAAAUUGCAGUUUUUUGCUGGAGAUAGGGCAGGAGAUCUUGCAAAUUUGGUGGCUCAAGAAGUCAAGUGGCUUAGAGAUUAUUCAGGUUUUGUGUUUAAUCACACUUUUGGAAAGACUCUUCGAGGAGGUAAAAGGAGGAGUAAUAUGUUUGUUGUAAAGAGGUGAGAUGAUAAGGUUAUUUGUCCUGUAGUAGGAAUACAAGAUUUUGUUUCAGGAUGUAAAGACUUGGGAGUUGAUCUGUCUUGUGGCUAUCUCUUUCGAGUUGUUACAGAGGAUGCACGGGUUUUAGAUCAGCCUGUUUCCUAUUCAGUUGUUUAUGAUAGGUUGCGUGUGUAUUUGCGGAAACUUGGUGUUGAUGAAGGUGAGACUCCACACAGUUUCCGGGCAGGUUGUGCUGUUGCGUUGGCUAUGUCAGGCUCAGUGAGUGAGGUGGGUCAGAUAAUGAGACAUGUUGGUUGGUUUGGGGAAGGGAGUGCCGAGUAUUAUAGUAGACUUCCAGCCUUGGUAGAAUCAGAUUUUGUAGCUGGAAGAUUGGCAACAAGUGUGAAAGAUGCGGGAAUGAUGGAAGAGAAGUAUCGAGAGUGCAUGCAGUAUGGUAGUCUUGAUUCGGCUUUUGUAGAGAGUGAGUGAUGAGAUAGAGAGCUAAGUGUACAUUAUGUACAUUUACAUGUCUGAAUAUGAUUUAUGAUUUUCAUGAUUAAAGUUUUGAUAACAU